rnacentral:rRNA from 1 species
GACGAACGCUGGCGGCGUGCUUAACACAUGCCAGUCGAACGGAAAGGCCCUGCUUGCAGGGUACUCGAGUGGCGAACGGGUGAGUAACACGUGGGUGAUCUGCCCUGCACUUCGGGAUAAGCCUGGGAAACUGGGUCUAAUACCGGAUAGGAGCCAUUUUUAGUGUGAUGGUUGGAAAGUUUUUUCGGUGUAGGAUGAGCUCGCGGCCUAUCAGCUUGUUGGUGGGGUAAUGGCCUACCAAGGCGGCGACGGGUAGCCGGCCUGAGAGGGUGGACGGCCACAUUGGGACUGGGAUACGGCCCAGACUCCUACGGGAGGCAGCAGUGGGGAAUAUUGCACAAUGGGCGCAAGCCUGAUGCAGCGACGCCGCGGGGGGGAUGACGGCCUUCGGGUUGGAAACUCCUUUCGCUAGGGACGAAGCUUUUUGUGACGGUACCUAGAGAAGAAGCACCGGCUAACUACGUG